rnacentral:rRNA from 1 species
GGUUGUGGUGAGGGUAGUGGGUAAAGAAGCGCCGGCUAACUACGUGCCAGCAGCCGCGGUAAUACGUAGGGCGCGAGCGUUGUCCGGAAUAUUGGGCGUAAAGGGCUGUAGGCGGUUGGUCGCGUCUGCCGUGAAAUCCUCUGGCUUAACUGGGGGCGUGCGGUGGGUACGGGCUGACUUGAGUGCGGUAGGGGAGACUGGAACUCCUGGUGUAGCGGUGGAAUGCGCAGAUAUCAGGAAGAACACCGGUGGCGAAGGCGGGUCUCUGGGCCGUUACUGACGCUGAGGAGCGAAAGCGUGGGGAGCGAACAGGAUUAGAUACCCUGGUAGUCCACGCUGUAAACGUUGGGCACUAGGUGUGGGGGCCACCCGUGGUUUCUGCGCCGUAGCUAACGCUUUAAGUGCCCCGCCUGGGGAGUACGGCCGCAAGGCUAAAACUCAAAGGAAUUGACGGGGGCCCGCACAAGCGGCGGAGCAUGCGGAUUAAUUCGAUGCAACGCGAAGAACCUUACCAAGGCUUGACAUGCACGGCGGCACUGCAGAGAUGUGGUGGCAUUUAGUUGGUCGUGUGCAGGUGGUGCAUGGUUGUCGUCAGCUCGUGUCGUGAGAUGUUGGGUUAAGUCCCGCAACGAGCGCAACCCUUGCCCUAUGUUGCCAGCACGUGAUGGUGGGGACUCGUGGGGGACUGCCGGGGUUAACUCGGAGGAAGGUGGGGAUGACGUCAAAUCAUCAUGCCCCUUAUGUCUUGGGCUUCACGCAUGCUACAAUGGUUGGUACAGAGGGUUGCGAUACUGUGAGGUGGAGCGAAUCCCUUAAAGCCAGUCUCAGUUCGGAUUGGGGUCUGCAACUCGACCCCAUGAAGGUGGAGUCGCUAGUAAUCGCAGAUCAGCAACGCUGCGGUGAAUACGUUCUCGGGCCUUGUACACACCGCCCGUCACGUCACGAAAGUUGGUAACACCCGAAGCCC